rnacentral:rRNA from 1 species
GAUGAACGCUAGCGGCAGGCUUAACACAUGCAAGUCGAACGGUAACAUAGUGCUUGCACUGAUGACGAGUGGCGAACGGGUGCGUAACGCGUAUGCAACCUACCUCUUAUUAAGGGAUAGCUCAGAGAAAUUUGAAUUAAUACCUUAUAAUAUCUUAAAGCCGCAUGGUUUAAAGAUUAAAGAAUUUCGAUAAGAGAUGGGCAUGCGUGAUAUUAGCUAGUUGGUAAGGUAACGGCUUACCAAGGCAACGAUAUCUAGGGGGUCUGAGAGGAUGAUCCCCCACACUGGUACUGAGACACGGACCAG